rnacentral:rRNA from 2 species
UACGUAGGGUCCGAGCGUUGUCCGGAGUUACUGGGCGUAAAGCGCGCGCAGGCGGCUCGUCAAGUCUGGCGUGAAAGCCCCCGGCUCAACCGGGGAGGGUCGUCGGAGACUGGCGAGCUUGAGGGCGGUAGGGGCUGGUGGAAUUCCCGGUGUAGUGGUGAAAUGCGUAGAGAUCGGGAGGAACACCCGUGGCGAAGGCGGCCAGCUGGGCCGUCCCUGACGCUGAGGCGCGAAGGCGUGGGGAGCGAACGGG